rnacentral:rRNA from 1 species
AACGAACGCUGGCGGCAUGCCUUACACAUGCAAGUCGAACGGUAACGCGGGGCAACCUGGCGACGAGUGGCGAACGGGUGAGUAAUGCAUCGGAACGUGCCCAGUAGUGGGGGAUAGCCCGGCGAAAGCCGGAUUAAUACCGCAUACGACCUAAGGGUGAAAGCGGGGGAUCGCAAGACCUCGCGCUAUUGGAGCGGCCGAUGUCAGAUUAGGUAGUUGGUGGGGUAAAGGCCUACCAAGCCUUCGAUCUGUAGCUGGUCUGAGAGGACGACCAGCCACACUGGAACUGAGACACGGCCAAGACUCCUACGGGAGGCAGCAGUGGGGAAUUGUGGACAAUGGGCGCAAGCCUGAUCCAGCCAUGCCGCGUGCGGGAAGAAGGCCUUCGGGUUGUAAACCGCUUUUGUCAGGGAAGAAACGCUCUGGGUUAAUACCCCGGGGUAAUGACGGUACCUGAAGAAUAAGCACCGGCUAACUACGUGCCAGCCGCCGCGGUAACAC